GAUGAACGCUGGCGGCGUGCCUAAUACAUGCCAGUCGAGCGAACGGACGAGAAGCUUGCUUCUCUGAUGUUAGCGGCGGACGGGUGAGUAACACGUGGAUAACCUACCUAUAGGACUGGGAUAACUUCGGGAAACCGUAGCUAAUACCGGAUAAUAUUUUGAACCGCAUGGUUCAAAAGUGAAAGACGGUCUUGCUGUCACUUAUAGAUGGAUCCGCGCUGCAUUAGCUAGUUGGUAAGGUAACGGCUUACCAAGGCAACGAUGCAUAGCCGACCUGAGAGGGGGAUCGGCCCCCCUGGAACUGAAACACGGCCCAGACUCCUACGGGAGGCAGAAGUAGGGAAUCUUCCGCAAUGGGCGAAAGCCUGACGGAGCAACGCCGCGUGAGUGAGGAAGGUCUUCGGAUCGUAAAACCCUGUUAUUAGGGAAGAACAUAUGUGUAAGUAACUGUGCACAUCUGGACGGUACCUAAGCAGAAAGCCACGGCAAACUACGG
rnacentral:rRNA from 1 species